AAACGGCCGCGGUACCCUAACCGUGCAAAGGUAGCAUAAUCAUUUGCCUUUUAAUUGGAGGCUGGUAUGAAUGGUUUGACGAGAGCUAUGCUGUCUCUUUUAAAAUAUUUAAAAAUUAACUUUUAGGUGAAGAGGCCUAAAUUUAUUUAAGGGACAAGAAGACCCUGUUGAGCUUUAGUGAUGUUGUAAACGAUGAAGAAUAAGGCAUUAUUGAUUUGUUGUGUAUUUAUCAUAAUAAAAGUUUGCAGAUAAUCUUUAGUUGGGGCGACUGAGGAACAUACAAAGCUUCCCUGUAUAUAAAUUAUUUAAGUAAUUGAAUAAAUUAAUGCUUAUGUGUUAUUUUGAUCCAAAUUAUUUUGAUUAAGAGAAAAAGUUACCACGGGAUAACAGCGUAAUCUUUCUGGAGAGAUCUUAUCGAAAGAAGGGUUUGCGACCUCG
rnacentral:rRNA from 1 species